CCCUUAGAUGUCCUGGGCCGCACGCGCGCUACACUGAGUGUCUGAGAUACGAGUCUGCCUGGUCCGGCAAGGUCUAGGUAAUCGCUAAAAGACACAUCAUGCUUGGGAUAGAUUAUUGCAAAUAUUAAACUUGAACGAGGAAUUCCUAGUAAGCGCAAGUCAACAGCUUGCGUUGAUUACGUCCCUGCCCUUUGUACACACCGCCCGUCGCUACUACUGAUUGGAUGUUUAAGCGAGGUUCUCGAACUGCUAGCGACUUAGCUUCGGUGAGGUCGCAGUGUGGGAAGUGAACCUAGCUUUGGUGUCUAGAGGAAGUAAAAGUCGUAACA
rnacentral:rRNA from 1 species